rnacentral:misc_RNA from 1 species
GAGGUCGGCCCGACUUCGGUCACUGCCACCUC